UACGUAGGGUGCGAGCGUUGUCCGGAAUUAUUGGGCGUAAAGGGCUCGUAGGCGGUCUGUCGCGUCGGGAGUGAAAACUCAGGCUUAACCCUGAGCCUGCUUCCGAUACGGGCAGACUAGAGGUAGGCAGGGGAGAGCGGAACUCCUGGUGUAGCGGUGGAAUGCGCAGAUAUCAGGAAGAACACCGGUGGCGAAAGCGGCUCUCUGGAACGGUACUGACGCUGAGACGCGAAAGCGUGGGGAGCGAAACAGG
rnacentral:rRNA from 1 species